rnacentral:rRNA from 1 species
GACGGAGGGUGCAAGCGUUGUUCGGAUUGACUGGGCGUAAAGGGCGUGUAGGCGGUUGCCCAAGUCCGAUGUGAAAGCCCGAGGCCUACCCUCGGAAGUGCAUCGGAAACUAGGCAGCUGGAGCGCGAUAGAGGAGGGUAGAAUUCCUGGUGUAGCGGUGAAAUGCGUAGAUAUCUGGAGGAACACCGGUGGCGAAGGCGGCGUUCUGGACUGCAACUGACACUGAGGGAACGAAAGCCAGGGGAGCAAACGGG